GCGAAUUCGCCCUUCGGGGUGCAGCAGGCGCGAAAACUCCACAAUGUACGGAAGUACGAUGGGGUUAUCUCGAGUGCAGUCCGAUAAGGGCUGCUUUUCCAUAGAGUAAUAUCCUGUGGGAAUAAGAGGGGGGCAAGACUGGUGUCAGCCGCCGCGGUAACACCAGCCCCUCGAGUGGUGGGGACUAUUAUUUGGCCUAAAGCGUCCGUAGCUGGCUGUAUCCGUCCCCCGUUAAAUCCAGCGUCCUAAGCGUUGGACCGCGGGUGAUACCAUACAGCUAGAGGGUGGGAUAGGUGAGCGGUAUUUCUGGGGUAGGGGCGAAAUCCUUUGAUCCCAGGAGGACCACCAGUGGCGAAGGCUGCUCACUAGAACACGCCUGACGGUCAGGGACGAAAGCUGGAGCAGCGAACCGGAUUAGAUACCCGGGUAGUCCCAGCUGUAAACGAUGCUAGCUAGGUGUUGGGUCGGCCACGCGCCGCCCCAGUGCCGCAGGGAAGCCGUUAAGCUAGCCGCCUGGGGAGUACGGCCGCAAGGCUGAAACUUAAAGGAAUUGGCGGGGGAGCAC
rnacentral:rRNA from 1 species